GACGAACGCUGGCGGCGUGCUUAACACAUGCAAGUCGAACGGUGAAGCGCCUUCCUUUUUGGUGGGUGUGGAUGAGUGGCGAACGGGUGAGUAACACGUGAGUAACCUGCCCCCUUCUUCUGGAUAACCGCAUGAAAGUGUGGCUAAUACGGGAUAUUCUGGGUCUGUCGCAUGAUGGGUCUGGGAAAGAUAUUGUUUCGGUGGGGGAUGGGCUCGCGGCCUAUCAGCUUGUUGGUGGGGUGAUGGCCUACCAAGGCGGUGACGGGUAGCCGGCCUGGGAGGGUGGCCGGUCACACUGGGACUGAGCCACCGCCCCGCCUCCUACGGGAGGCAGCAGUGGGGAAUAUUGCACAAUGGGCGCCAGCCUGAUGCAGCGACGCCGCGUGAGGGAUGGAGGCCUUCGGGUUGUGAACCUCUUUCGCCAGUGAAGCAGGCCUGCCUCGUUUGUGGGUGGGUUGACGGUAGCUGGAUAAGAAGCGCCGGCUAACUACGUG
rnacentral:rRNA from 1 species